ACCUGCAGCCACACCACCUUGAAUAAGCCUGAUCUCAUCUGAUCUCAGAAGCUAAGCAACGUUGGGUUUGGUUAGUACUUGGAUGGGAUUCCACCUGGGAAUAUCAAGUGCUGUAGGCAUU
rnacentral:rRNA from 1 species